AAAACAAUCAGACAUAUGUGAAAUUUAUAGU
rnacentral:guide_RNA from 1 species